rnacentral:lncRNA from 1 species
AUGUGUAUAUGAUAGUUGGGAGUAGUUGAUAUGCAUGUUUGUAGGUUUUUGGGCAAAGUUUGCAUGAAACAGAGCAGGGUUCUGCCCUUCGGGCAAAACCAGGUUCGGCCGCCGAAGGAAGGUUCGGCCGCCGAACCCCUUGUGGAGGCAGUUUCGGCUGCCAAAGGUUGCCCCCGAACGCUAGGCUUUCGGUUUAGACAGAG